AUAAUCUCCGUAUUUUGUAUUUUAACAACGAUAUUGAUAUUUCGUAACGAUAUACGCUUUAGCUACGGCCGUGCAAUGUACCUUUCUAUAACUUUGAGGUACGGUGUUUUUAAAGAGGAUCCAACAGGCAUGUUUCAAUUUUCUAUCCGAUUUGCUAAUUGCAAGCGAAUACCGGAAUAGGCAGCGAUCGUAAGGAGCAACGUCUAACGAAUAAGCUGGCUGCUGUAAGACGUGCCAACCAAGACUCGUCAUGACGUCUUUUGUCCGUAGAAGCCACGUGGGGCCUGAUGUUGUCAGGCGGUAAUUUCACGGAACGUCCUCCUUCGUAGGUGCCCCGACGAUCGGAUCUCGUGUAAAGACGCGACACUUUAUCGCUUACCCAACAAGUGGCUCAAAGUUACAGAGAGCAACGACGAACGAAUUCCUCGAUCCCACGGCUUGCGCAUCGCACAGCGAGAUCGUUGCUCGCCAAACGGGGUAAAAAGCACGUUCUUCCUACGUUUGCUCACGGACGUUGUCUCUCGAGAGACCGAGCCAUUCGAGCACCUUCUGCGAAGGUAAGCAGGUUCGUGGAAAUUACGAUAUUUACGAAGAGGAGAAGCGAUUGAGAAUGAGGAUGAACAAAAGCGUGACAGUGAGUGGUGAAAUUCUUCGGUAUAUAUAUAUAUAUAUUCGUCGAAUAUAUUCGGUAAUAAAUCGUAGCGGUUACUAAACUACGCGUGACGCGUGACGCGUGACACGUGACACGUUCGAAACGUAACGUAAUACGUUUGUAAAUUAUAUAGAGACAAUUAUAAUGUUGUCAGUACGAGGAUAGAUCGUAAGAUAUUAACGGAAGAAGAGGCCGGAUUGUUGAUUGUUAUAGCGUAGAAGACGUUCCAGGGGCAUCCGAGGUCUCAGAUGUUCAAGGCCUGUUGGAGCCAAUUUUCUUAGCACAGUAUGUUAGUUAGCUAGUAUGCUUUUGCGCUGUAGCUCUGCCAUUUCUCGCAAAAUUAGUUAGAAAUGUAGCCAGCAUACUGGUUGAAAUUAUGUAUCGGGUGUAGAAAAGAAUAAUGCAAAUUUUUAAG